UACGAAGGGGGCUAGCGUUGUUCGGAAUCACUGGGCGUAAAGGGCGCGUAGGCGGUGUGUCAAGUCAGGCGUGAAAGCCCCGGGCUCAACCUGGGAACGGCGCUUGAGACUGGCACGCUCGAGUUCGGGAGAGGAUGGUGGAAUUCCCAGUGUAGAGGUGAAAUUCGUAGAUAUUGGGAAGAACACCGAUGGCGAAGGCAGCCAUCUGGACCGACACUGACGCUGAGGCGCGAAAGCGUGGGGAGCAAACAGG
rnacentral:rRNA from 1 species